CGUCUGCCCUGUGACAAUAGUUCAACGGCCGCGGUAUUUUGACCGUGCAAAGGUAGCGCAAUCACUUGUCUUUUAAAUGAAGACCUGUAUGAGUGGCACGACGAGGGCUUAACUGUCUCCUUUUUCCAGUCAAUGAAAUUGAUCUUUCCGUGCAGAAGCGGGAAUAUAACCAUAAGACGAGAAGACCCUAUGGAGCUUUAGACACAAGACAGAUCUUGUUAAACAUCUCAAAACAAAGAGACAAACAAAAAGAACCCUGCCCCAAUGUCUUUGGUUGGGGCGACCACGGGGAAACAAAUAACCCCCAUGCGGACUGAGAAAACAAUUCUCACAACCAAGAGCUACCGCUCUAAUUAACAGAAACUCUGACCUUAAGAUCCGGCAAUGCCGAUCAACGAACCGAGAUACCCUAGGGAUAACAGCGCAAUCCCCUUCUAGAGUCCAUAUCGACAAGGGGGUUUACGACCUCGAUGUUGGAUCAGGACAACCUAAUGGUGCAGCAGCUAUUAAGGGUUCGUUUGUUCAACGAUUAAAGUCCU
rnacentral:rRNA from 1 species